rnacentral:rRNA from 1 species
UACGGAGGGUGCAAACGUUGCUCGGAAUCAUUGGGCGUAAAGCGCACGUAGGCGGCCUGUUAAGUCGGAUGUGAAAGCCCCGGGCUCAACCCGGGAAGUGCAUUCGAAACUGGCGGGCUUGAAUAUGGAAGAGGGUCGCGGAAUUCCCGGUGUAGAGGUGAAAUUCGUAGAUAUCGGGAGGAACACCAGUGGCGAAGGCGGCGCCUGGGCCAAUAUUGACGCUGAGGUGCGAAAGCGUGGGGGAGCAAACAGG